AUAUGUGUAAUUCCAUAGAGUUUGCCUUAGCUGCCCUGAUGGGAAAGUGGAUUGCCCAUGACGAAACUCACCCUCCAAAAUGCCACUUAUCUCCAGUUCUGAAAGAGACUCAUAUCCUCUCCCCAUGACACUGCCAUCAUACCACUUACAAGCACCAGCCCAUGCUGGGUUAAGACAGAAGAAGACAGCUCUUAUUUUCCUCCUACAUGUGGAAUGUUUCAUGCCUGUGACGAUUUUGAGUUCCCUGAAUUCAGCCGGUAAGAUGGAUAACGGUGCUGCCCAAUGCUAACUGAAGUGGUGUGGGUGGAAUGGGUCAGAGAUUUACUCCCACAUAAAGUACAGAAGAAAACAGCAUUUGCUAAUCUGUUUUCUUACAUGUGCAGAGCACAGUGAAGCAGAAACCAGUGGCUUUACCUGUGUAAGAAAAACAAACACCCUGAUGCUGAAUGAUCCAGUUCUUCAAAAACUAACCCACGAACCAUUAUCUGUGCAUGUAACUCCUGCUGAUGGCCAUGAGGAUAGCCCCAGUGUAACUGUGUGGUUGAAAUAAGCAGAAUGCCUGAAGACACUGAGGAGCACAUUUCUAAUGGGGCAUUUCCAGGCAAAGGAUACGACUCCUAUAGGCAAAGCAGAGGAAUACUUUUGACUAAGCAGCAUGUACAUGUUUUUCCUCAUUUUAUCCCAUCUU